GAUAAGCCAUGCAAGUUGAAUGGGAUACCUAAAUUUUCCAUAGCAAACUGCUCAGUAACACAUGAUCAACUUGCCCUAUGGAGAAAAAUAACCUCGGGAAACUGAGGAUAAUAUUUCAUAGUUGAAUAGGCUUGGAAAAGUUUUUCAAUGAAAAGGAAAAGAUAAAUGGUUCUUUUCUGCCAUAGGAUAGGAUCGUGGUCGAUUAUGGUAGUUGGUGAGGUAAUGGCUCACCAAGCCGAUAAUCGAUAGGGGCCGUGAGAGCGGGAGCCCCGAGAUGGGUACUGAGACACCGACCCAGACCUUACGAGGUGCAGCAGGCGCGAGACCUCCGCAAUACACGAAAGUGUGACGGGGUUACCCAAAGUGUUCAUUUUUGAACUGUGGUAGGUGAGUAAUGUCCCCUACUAGAAAGGAGAGGGCAAGGCUGGUGCCAGCCGCCGCGGUAAAACCAGCUCUUCAAGUGGUCGGGAUGAUUAUUGGGCUUAAAGUGUCCGUAGCCGGUUUAGUAAGUUCCUGGUAAAAUCAGGUAGCUUAACUAUCUGUAUGCUAGGAAUACUACUAUACUAGUGGGCGGGAGAGGUCUGAGGUACUACAGGGGUAGGGGUGAAAUCUUAUAUCUUG
rnacentral:rRNA from 1 species